ACACUGAGGAGGCGCAAAUUAAGGUAGCUUCACAGGCUGAAGGAUCGACGCAGGUUCUUCGAGUCUUGGUUCAAGCUGGAGCUUUAGUAUUUAAUGCUAGAAGCAAGAAGGCUUUUUUGACUUCUCGAGCAUCGCUUAACUUAGCUGUUUAUCCUUUCAUUUCGAUCUUUCAGCGACACUCAGUUUCAGACACUUAACGCCGAAGUUAAACAAUGGCCAAGGACACCGGAAAGUGCGGCAACUGCGACUGUGCAGCAGGUACCUGCGCCAAGGAGAAUGGCGGCAAGUGCGGCAACUGUGACUGCGCCGCAGGAACCUGCGCAAAGGAGAACGGGGGCAAGUGCGACAACUGCGACUGCGCUGCCGGAACCUGCGCCAAGGAAUAGAUGAUACCAUCAUGCGCACUGAUAAGCAUACAGACACAGAGCGUAGAUGUAACUAGUUUCGAUUGGCAGGUUGCAAAAUGUGUGGAUGCGGCAAAUCCAUCCUGCGGCCGCUUUCUAGAACGGGCUGAAGACUUUCUGUGAGAGGGAGCGUGCGGAAGACUGGGAACUAACUGUUCGAUGGUCGUGUGGUAUUGUGUGUGCGUAUAGUGUAUAACGUUGUAUGGGAAUUGAACAAUAAACUCGGUAGUGCUCAAACACACCCUCCGAUUGCCGCUUCGUAA